UACGAGUGCCCCGAGCGUUAUCCGGAAUUAUUGGGCGUAAAGGGUCUGUAGGCGGUCCUAUUAGUCAGUCGUUAAAGCUCCCGGCUUAACUGGGAAAGGGCGACUGAAACGGUAGGUCUAGAGGAUGUGAGGGGUGUGUGGAACUCAUGGUGUAGGGGUGAAAUCCGUUGAUAUCAUGGGGAACACCGAAAGCGAAGGCAACACACUGGCACAUUCCUGACGCUGAGAGACGAAAGCGUGGGUCGCGAAGGGG
rnacentral:misc_RNA from 1 species